GAUGAACGCUAGCGGGAGGCCUAAUACAUGCAAGUCGAACGGCAGCAGGCGCAGCAAUGCGUGCUGGCGAGUGGCGCACGGGUGAGUAACGCGUACGCAACCUGCCCCUUACCGGGGAACGAGCCCUGGGAAACCGGGGAAUAAUUCCGCAUGUGGUCCCGAAGUCGCAUGACUUUGGGACUAAAGUAUAACAGCGGUUGGGGAUGGGCGUGCGUCUGAUUAGGUAGUUGG
rnacentral:rRNA from 1 species